rnacentral:lncRNA from 1 species
ACUGCGCGCCUGCAGGCGAGGCAGAGCGCGGCAGAGGCGAGGAGGAGGCAGCAGGCUGCAGCAGCAGCAGCACAGGGCCAGCUCCGCGGGCAGCUGGAGGAGCUGCGCUGCUUCAUCUAUGGGCUGAAACUGUCAGAGAUCGGCCUGCAGUGCCAGGUGGAGGACCUCACCCAGCAGAACCAGUGCCUGCGAGAGGAGCUGGGAGCCCAGGCCCCUGUUGGUCACUGCAGCCUGGAUGCUCUGGGCUGUGUUCAGGGUAACUCACUGCUCCUGCCCAGGGAGGAGGCCCUGGACCCCUGCAGAAGCCAAGGCUGGCGGAGCUCCCUGCGGUCCGAUGAUGCCCCUGGACAAAGGGCCUCAGAAGGUGCGUGGGUACCGCGGUGCAUGGAGGACAGGGUCCCAGGCAACACCCACCAAAGGGCUAGCUUGCUUCCUCCUCAUCAUGUCCCAGUGAUGCAGGGGGAAGGGGUGGUCCCCCCUCUCUACAGACAAGAAUCGAGGCUCAGAGAGAUAGGGUCCCUCACUCAGGGUCACACAGCUGCUGCAGAGGGGAUCAGAGUAUGCAACUCCCACCAGGGGCCUUUGGCUCAGGCUCAGCUGAACACAGGCUCAUACCCUUGGCCCUCAGGAGGGUGCCAGCCAAGGGGCCUCACAGGCCAGCAGGUUGGCAGCAGGGACAUGCUUUCACAGAAGUCCGUAUGAUGACCAGGAGCCAUCCUGUCCCCCCAUUUCCCACGUGACACCUCCAGUGUGAGGCAGUGAGAAUCGCACUUGGCAGGUCUGGAAGCUGCUGGGGCUUAGAAGCCUCUUGUCCCUGAUGUGAACCAAUAUCUCUCUCUCAUUUUUUUUGUUUUGUUUUGUUUUUGUUUUUGAAAUGGAGUCUCUCUUUGUCACCUAGGCUGGAGUGGAGUGCAGUUGUGCGAUCUCGGCUCACUGCAACCUCAAGCUCCCGGGUCCAAGUGAUUCUCCUGCCUUAGCCUCCCAAGUAGCUGGGACAACAGGCUCCCACCACCACGCCCGGCUAAUUUUUGUAUUUUUAGUAGAGACGGGGUUUUGCCAUGUUGGCCAGACUGGUCACAAACUCCUGGCCUUAUGUGAUCUGCCUGCAUUGGCCUCCCAGAAUGCUGGGAUUACAGGCAUGAGCCACCGUGCCGGGCUUGAGUAGUAUCUUAUAAUAUCUCAUAACCACCUCCGCCGUGGAUUCCAGAGCCCCUGCACUCAGAGAGCCUGACAGCCAUGGAGGCCAACUGGGCAUCUGUGGUUUAUUUCCAGCCCUCCAGCCUCAAGGGCUGUUUAGGGAUGGCAUUAUCUCGCAUAUGUGUAACACAGUGGUGCUGCUGACUGAUGCAGCCAGCGUUCUCCCGUUAUCUCAUUUCUGGGGAGCAGAGCUGCUACGUCGACCCAGGUCAGAUGUGUCCUCGUGCCAGCUGUGCAGGGCUGGGGUGAGGCUCAUUACCCUGUUUGACAGAUGAGGAUGCUGAGGCUUAGAAAGGUUUGGUGGAUUUUGUCCCGUGCAGGAGUCUGUGGGCUGCAGAGGUGGCUUGGAGCCCUGGGGCCUCUGCCCACCUACUGAUGGCUGUUUCACAUCUCUGAGCCUCAGCUGCCUCCCCUGACCAAGGUGCUAGUGGUUAUCAGGCUGCCCUUGGGAGGCAUGAUGAGGCUCACAGUCGGGGGUGGCAGGGGGUGCCAUCUUACCCAAGCCCGGGGGACGUGGUCCCUAGAGGCAAUCAUGGCAGAGCUCCUGGGAGCGUCUUUGUAACACCCAGGGUCUUGUUGCUUUCCAGGCCAGUUCCUGGAGGGGCCCUGCACCUGGAGCUGCAUCGGGUCUGGACGGGCCUCUUCUGUUUUGGCUCCAGGCCCGGAGACCACAAGCGAGCUCCCCGGAGACCUGGCGGGAUCCAACCGUGAACAGGUGAGGAUGGAGGCUUUCUGUGCACGUGUGCAGUACUCCUGGGUCCCCUCAGCCCUGUCUCGUGCGGGGUGUGUGGCCACUCACAGGAGGUGGGAGGGGUAAAGAAGCUCCAGGUCUGGAAGAACAUUCUGGAAAGAGUUGAGAGAGAGAUUUGAGGAGAGGAAAUGAAACAUCCUGAGACCUGGAUGGGGAGUGGGGAGGAAGGGGGUCAGCUGGGUGCCAGGCCUGGGCUGCCAUGGAACAGACUUCCUCUCAUUGGCACCUCCUGACACCCACGAGGCGUUGCUGCCACCUCUGCUCUGGAGAGGAGACGAGACUCCAAGGGCUGCUGUGACUCCCCAAGGCCCCCCGCUUGGAGGUGGACCCCGAGAUCCAGGCUCGACAGCCCACACUGCCCCAUGCUGGCCCUGAGGGUCAGGAGCCUGUGUCCCGCCUCACCUCCUGUGGCUUGCUCUGAGGCUGAGGCAGUCGUAGCCUUUCUCCACUUCCAUUUUCUUGUCCCUGAGAAGCAGAGCCAUGCUGGGACCCGCGAGCCCAGCUGUGGUUGUGUGGUUCUAAAUAGAGAGGCCCUCCGUUAUCUCUUCAUUCAUUCACGUCCUGCUCAUGAUGCAUCUCUUAUUUUUGUUGUUGGCCAUCGCAUCCCUAUAUGUCUCACUCCUCACCACCCCCUUCCCUUGAAGCCCAGGGCAACGUCUUAGAACACAGAGGUGCCCCAUUUGACAGGUGAGGUGGCUGAGGCUCCAGCAGGUUAAGGAACUUGCUCAAGGUCACACCCAGGAUUGAAGCCAGGUCUCUAGGUCUAUACCUCUCUGGGGCAAAUGCUCUUUUCUCUAUGGGCAGCUGGGAGAGGGGCUUGGUGUCUGGAUUGAAGGACAUUGCAGACAGAGGCAAAGGCAACAGAGGAAGGGGUGCUGCCCACCCACAGCUCCAGGGAGCAGGGAGGUGGUGACCCCUCCAGGCAGGGGCAGCGCUCCUGGCCUUCAAGCCCCCUCUGCCUGAAGGGGCUUUGCUGCUUGUAUGUCCACCUGUAAAGGCUCAGACUCCCUCUGUCCUUUGAGAUGCUCCCUCUGUCCUUCUCUUCUGGGUCUUAGACCAGCUGAGCCUCUCCCAGCUAUUCUAGGGGUUCCACUGAGAACUGCCUGCAGCCUGCCAGGUCUGGGAGCAGCCCCAGGGACUCACAGUGAGCCUAGCUAAAACCAAAAUUCAUCCUCAGGCUUCCCCAGCCCAGCCGGGGCCUCUGCUGUGAGCUGGGCUCCUCCUCUCUGGAUAAACACAUCAAAUAAGCGAAGAUAAAAAUACAUUUAAAAUAUCAAGGAAACACCUCCUGUGUGCCCAGCACUGUUCUAGGCCCAGGAGUUGAACAAAGAUGAAGUCCUGCCCUCAGGGAGUGGACGGCCUGCACGAGCCCCAUCCAUGAGAGCCUUCUACAGCGCUAUUCACAGUCUGCAUCUGUGCUGCCCAAGACGGUAGCCACGGGCCACACGGGGCUAGUGCCACCGCAGAACUGAGUGUUAACCUUGAUUUAAUUACUUUACAUUUUAGGAGCUCCAUGUGGCCCAUGACUAGUGGAUUGGACGGGGCAGGGCUAUAGGGGGAGUUAGAUGAUACAGACAGAAAUAUAUAAUAUGGUGUGAGGGCAUGGAGGGUGCUGUGGGGGAAGAUGACAUGGGGUGGAUGGCCCGAGAGUGAGUCAGGGAGGGCCUUCUCAAGGAAGUCAUUUGCACUGAGAUACGAAUGGAGCCAGGGAGCGAGCCCUGAGGGCAUCUGGGGCAAGGACAUUCUGGGUAGAGUGAAGAGCACGUGCAAAGGCCCUAGGGUGGUGCCAGCUGUGUCCUGUGUGGGAAAGAGCUUGUCCCCUGUGCAACUGGUGAGGAGACAUGGAGAACCCCAGGAGGUGAGUGGAGGUGGGGGUGCUGAAUGGAGGAAGGGCUGUUUCACACCUCAUUUUCUCUCUCCAUUCGUAGCUUACUCUGGCAGAGCCUGGCUUGGAUGAACAGAUUCUUCUCCUGGUCUGUGGCUGCCCCCCAGGGGAGUGCU